UGAAGAUUAAUGAUCUUAAAAACGAAAACAGGGAUCUUGAAAAAAACAUAGCGAGUUGGGAGGAGAAGGCCAGGGAAGCAAAGAAGCAAGCAGAAACAAAGACAGACCAUAAGCGUUCCCUUGCUGGAGUACAUAUAUUAAAAGCCUGAAGAGGAAGAAAAGGAAGGCUUUCCUAGAACCAGACCUGGCCAA